ACGAAGGGGGCUAGCGUUGUUCGGAAUUACUGGGCGUAAAGCGCACGUAGGCGGACAUUUAAGUCAGUGGUGAAAGCCUGCAGCUUAACUGCAGAACUGCCAUUGAUACUGUCAAUCUUGAAUAUGUUUGAUGUGGGCGGAAUAUGACAUGUAGCGGUGAAAUGCUUAGAUAUGUCAUAGAACACCGAUUGCGAAGGCAGCUCACAAAGCCAUUAUUGACGCUGAGGCACGAAAGCGUGGGGAUCAAACAGGA
rnacentral:rRNA from 1 species